rnacentral:rRNA from 1 species
CCUACGGGCGGCAGCAGUGGGGAAUAUUGGACAAUGGGCGAAAGCCUGAUCCAGCCAUGCCGCGUGUGUGAAGAAGGCCUUCGGGUUGUAAAGCACUUUCAGUGGGGAAGAAAGCCUUGGGGCUAAUACCCUCGAGGAAGGACAUCACCCACAGAAGAAGCACCGGCUAACUCCGUGCCAGCAGCCGCGGUAAUACGGAGGGUGCGAGCGUUAAUCGGAAUUACUGGGCGUAAAGCGCGCGUAGGCGGUCUGAUAAGCCGGUUGUGAAAGCCCCGGGCUCAACCUGGGAACGGCAUCCGGAACUGUCAGGCUAGAGUGCAGGAGAGGAAGGUAGAAUUCCCGGUGUAGCGGUGAAAUGCGUAGAGAUCGGGAGGAAUACCAGUGGCGAAGGCGGCUUUCUGGACUGACACUGACGCUGAGGUGCGAAAGCGUGGGUAGCAAACAGGAUUAGAUACCCCAGUAGUC